AUUGAACGCUGGCGGCAGGCCUAACACAUGCAAGUCGAGCGGAUGAAGGGAGCUUGCUCCUGGAUUCAGCGGCGGACGGGUGAGUAAUGCCUAGGAAUCUGCCUGGUAGUGGGGGAUAACGUCCGGAAACGGGCGCUAAUACCGCAUACGUCCUGAGGGAGAAAGUGGGGGAUCUUCGGACCUCACGCUAUCAGAUGAGCCUAGGUCGGAUUAGCUAGUUGGUGGGGUAAAGGCCUACCAAGGCGACGAUCCGUAACUGGUCUGAGAGGAUGAUCAGUCACACUGGAACUGAGACACGGUCCACACUCCUACGGGAGGCAGCAGUGGGGAAUAUUGGACAAUGGGCGAAAGCCUGAUCCAGCCAUGCCGCGUGUGUGAAGAAGGUCUUCGGAUUGUAAAGCACUUUAAGCUGGGAGGAAGGGCAGUAAGUUAAUACCUUGCUGUUUUGACGUUACCAACAGAAUAAGCACCGGCUAACUUCGUG
rnacentral:rRNA from 1 species